rnacentral:rRNA from 1 species
GAUGAACGCUGGCGGCGUGCCUAAUACAUGCAAGUCGAGCGAACAGACGAGGAGCUUGCUCCUCUGACGUUAGCGGCGGACGGGUGAGUAACACGUGGAUAACCUACCUAUAAGACUGGGAUAACUUCGGGAAACCGGAGCUAAUACCGGAUAAUAUAUUGAACCGCAUGGUUCAAUAGUGAAAGACGGUUUUGCUGUCACUUAUAGAUGGAUCCGCGCCGCAUUAGCUAGUUGGUAAGGUAACGGCUUACCAAGGCAACGAUGCGUAGCCGACCUGAGAGGGUGAGCGGCCACACUGGAACUGAGACACGGUCCAGACUCCUACGGGAAGCAGCAGGAGGGAAACCUCCGGAAUGGGCGAAAGCCUGAAGGGGCAAAGCCGCGGGAGUGAUGAAGGUCUUCGGAUCGUAAAACUCUGUUAAUAGGGAAGAACAAAUGUGUAAGUAACUAUGCACGUCUUGACGGUACCUAAUCAAAAAGCCACGGCUAACUACGUG